GUGCUCGCCUCAGCAGCAUAUACUAAAAUUGGAACAAUACAGAGAGGAUGAGCAUGGCCCCUACACAAGGAUGACAUGCGAAUUUGAAAGUAUUCCAUAUUUUG
rnacentral:snRNA from 1 species